CGUCCUUGGUCAGUGGGCGGGGCAGCUUCUUCUGGAACUUGGGCGCGCGGGCCGAGAGGACUGCGGUGGGUUCGAACCCCUCGCGGUCGGCCA
rnacentral:tRNA from 1 species